CAAACAAAUUUCCAUCGAUGUAAAUAAAACGAACGUCUGCUCCAGUCAGUUCUCUUAUUAUUCCUUUUAUAAUUUCUUUUAUGUUUAAAUUGAUAAAGAUGUUUUUAUCUAGUGUAUUAAAUCUGUUUUUUUCACAUUAAAAACCUUCCUUUUCAAUGGUUUGUUAUUACAUUUGCUUUUUUAAUUUUAAUCCGUACUGCGUAAUAAAUGUAUGUAACAUUUAAUGAUGAAUUAAUUUUAUAGUCUACAUUUUUAGAUCAAGUUUUUUCUGCACAAUUUUCAUGGUUUGAGAAUUUCGCAUUUCACUGCCUUUGAAAAUGAUACCAUUUUUGUAAACCCAGUUUCUGACAUCUAUCUCAUAGCUUACUUUAACCUCUGUCUACACUAGUAAAUUUGACAAAUGACAAUGAGUUGCCCAUAUUUGGGUAUGAUAUGACAUCAUCAUGCCCAUAUAUGACCACAAACAUAUAGUGUGGACAGAGUGUUAGCUUCCGUUGAUUGCUGCUUUACAUGUAACCUAUAAUUAUUUAUUAUAAAUGACAUAAUGUAAUACAUAACAUUAACCAGGAAUAAUCAUGUAAUUGAUUUUAUUAUGAUGUUUGUUUUAUUUAGACUAAAGAAAGGGAAUUGAAAUUAACAUUUAAGUCAUUUUUCAUAACGGUCGUAGAAUUGAUGGCUCAUACACAGGUGCAUAAAAAAGGAAAUUAACUAAAAAUAUAAAUAAUUGACCUAAAAAUUAGUAUAAAAAUACACAUACAAUUGUCUAUGUAUUAUGAAGGCCAUUUUUUUUCAUAUUUUCACUUUAUUUUUCUUCCUGACUUCAAAGACUUGGGGCAUGUUUCCAAAAAAUAUAAUUAGAUUUAUAUAUAUUACCCAGUAUCUCUUGAUGAUUUUUAUGUAGUAGUAUCCAUUGACACUAUAACACAUAGGCAAGGCUAUUUUAAUACCUUGUUAAGCAAACUUUUUUUUUUAAUUGUCGGAGGAGGGUGGAAAAAAAUAAAACUUGAUUUUCUUAUAGUAAAUGAUUUUGCCAAAACAUUCAGGUUGAGAAAAAAAAAAUAAUUGAUGAAUAAAACAGUGUAAUAUAUGAGAUUGAUAAUGCUUUAAAUUUAUAUAAUUAAGCAAGAAAUAUAUGUCUUAAUUUUGGAAAAUUUUGUGCUAGCUGACAAAAAAUAUAUAUUUUUUAUUCGAAAUCACUAUUAUUUGUGGUCGGAUGGUUUGCUAAUCAAGGUAUUAAAAAAGUGUUUCCUUAUGUACAAAGGUUGAUGGUAAAGUACCGAAUUAGAUACCACCUUUUAUCACAAAAGUUGGCCAGUGGAGGGUAAAAUGUAAAAUGUUUGUAUGCAAGGAAUAUUUUGCCUCAAAUUGAUAAAGCACAGCACACACUGCCUUGGAUGACUUUAGCGACAAAUCCCACCACAUUUUGUGUUAGCGCUUGUUAUCUGAGCAGAUUGAAAAUGAUGUAUGUAGUGCAUAGGUCUUUGCAACAUUAAUGAAAUCAAUUCCGUUGACGCAGUGUGCCUUGCAUAGGAUUUAGAGGGUUGUGACUUAAUAGGCAAGUUGAAAAUUUAUUGAUAGGUUGUGCUUAACCUUAAAGGUGGACUUGUAGCCAUAAAAGCACUGUGCUUUCCUAUCUCAUCAAGAGAUCUCUAGCUGUUUGAGCUAUUUAAAUUGGCUUAUGAUAUUACUGUAUAUGUAAAUUUAUUUUAAUUAAAAUGUGAAGCAAUGCUGGAAAAAUGAACUUGGAAAUAUCCUUUAAGAGGUCAGAAACUUCAUACUAAACUGUCGAGAAAGAAUCAUGCAGAUUUUUGAUCGCAAUUCUCUAAACUGAUAAUCUAGAUUAACUGAAAUAUAGAAUAUUAUGUAUCAAUGCAUUUUUCCCAGAUACCCCCUUUGAUAUUUACCACUAUAUAUUUCGACAAAUGCUACAGAAUUUCUAAAAAGCUAGUUUUUAAAGAUAAACUUAGCUAAGUUAGAUAAUAAAUCUUGUAAAAUGUAAUUAAAUAUUUGAGUUGCUUAAUUUGUAUAAGGAAGUAAUUAGUUUUUAUUCGAGAAUUAGAAUGGAAAGUUUUUCUUGCCAAUUAAUGAAUGCAUAAAUAAUAACACAUUUUAAAAUAUACUGCCACUUAACACUAAUAUACAGUAAACUUAAAUUUCUUAAUCUGUAUAUUCAAAUAAAUUAUCAAGUUUCAAUCAAACAUUCCAAAUAUGGAAUGAUACCAUUCCUACAGUCUUCUGUAUUAUAUUUCUGCCACCAAAUUUAAGGAUUUUUUGUUUAUUAGGUAGCAGUAUGUCAAGGAAUUGCAAAUCAGCAAAAAUUGAUGAAGACCCUUUGUAGUCUUAACUGUGCAUGACUAUAUUGAUUGACUGACAGAUCGAUUGUCACAAAUCAUCUGCAUAUCACUAAUACUUUAUAUUUCUCUAGAUCAGUUGCUAAUAUUCCCGGUGUAUAGGUGCGGAAUAUUGCAACCAAUUUCAAAAUAUAACUACUAUUCAGAUCCUAUGUUGUAUAUGACCUUUGACUUUGACAUGCGCUGUUGAAACUACAAAGUGGCUUAUUGGUGUCAUUGGAAGUUGGUCCUUUCAUAAUAAAAAUAAUUUUGAUUAGUUGUUUGGAGAAUUUUCACAGAUUUUAAUGCUGACAGUACAUUUUUAGGGUACUUUGUUCUUUUUCCAUAUUUAUGUUUAGUGUAAUCAAGUACCAUUCUUUUAAUCUCCAUGAUCUGAUGAAAUAACAAGCAAUUAGAAUAGUUGUGUAUUAUACACUAGUGGAUAUUUAUUAUACAAAGGUUAGAUUAAACUGCACUAAUGACAAAUUAGUGCGCUGUUGAUAACAUUGAGAUUUACAGUGAUAAUGUCACGAUUGACUUAUAAUUGUAUAUACUGUAGAAUAUUGUUUGUGUGUAACUAACUGUAAAUUGCUAGAUUUUACAGUUUUUCGUGAUUAUACUUUAUAACUGAAGCUAAAAUACUUUUGAAGUUUUAUUGUCAGUAAAAUUAAACCUUGUUUGUAAGCAAUA